UACGUAGGGUGCGAGCGUUAAUCGGAAUUACCGGGCGUAAAGCGUGCGCAGGCGGUUCGUUGUGUCGGCGGUGAAAGCCCCGGGCUCAACCUGGGAAUGGCCGUUGAAACUGGCGAACUGGAGUGUGGCAGAGGGGGGUGGAAUUCCGCGUGUAGCAGUGAAAUGCGUAGAGAUGCGGAGGAACACCGAUGGCGAAGGCAGCCCCCUGGGCUAACACUGACGCUCAGGCACGAAAGCGUGGGGAGCAAACAGG
rnacentral:rRNA from 1 species